rnacentral:lncRNA from 1 species
AAAGUCCUGCAGUAUCUGGUACACCAAUGUAGGUCAUGAGAUCCAGGUUAAAGACACGAAUUCCAGACACAGUACUCAGAGUACAGAAUCCAGCACGGAGAGAAGACAUCAGCUGGAGUCAGAGAAGCUGGAAUCCCAGACCUCAGAAUUCCAAGAUGCCUUCCAGGCUCAAACCCGGACAUGUGAGCCACUGGCCGGCCUCAACAAAUCGGCGAACCAACUCAGGACCGGAGAAAUGGCAGAGGACAUGGGAAGGAACACUGCUGGUUUGGAUCUCCAUGGAAGAAGAAAAUAAUUAAAGAAAAUUCGUACGGGAACACGAGAAUCAACAGGCAAAAGGUUGCCAGGUGUGGUACAGUCUAAGCUGGAGCUGCGCUAAACCUUCGUGCUGGAUUCACUUAGGUUCAGCAGUGAGAUUAUCAUGAUCUAGGAAAGUAACAGGCAGUUAGCUGCAGCUUGCAUAAGCUGCUUUUUCAGGUGUGAGAAAAGAAAGGGUUUAAUAAUAGGGAUUUAAUAAUUAGGCAGAUGGCCGCAGUCAGAAACUACAUCAGGCGGAAGGAAAAUGUCCCAGAAGCAGAGAGAAAUUUUAGGGGUGCCCUGCUUUGUUCUCUCCGGGCCUUACAGCAGAAGUUCUCUGCCCUCUUUGUGGUUUUGUCUAAGGUCUUGUCUAAUAUCUGGUGCACCAGUCCAUUUACCUGUCAAUUCAUGUGUGUUUUGUUUCAUUGUCUGAAUGACUGAAUGUUCUGUGUUUCAUGUUUGAAAAUAAAGAUGGCUAAAUAUUUCUCUGCUGGUAUAGCAAAGCAGAGAGUGGCCACAGGCCUUAGCCAGGCAUCAGGCACACAGCAGGAGGGCCCCUGCUGGAAAAACUGUUCUUUAAAGGAAAAAAGAGAGUCUGCAGCCUCAUGGUUUUGGGGUGGAAAAAGCUGAUAGAUGGUUUGUCCUAAGAAAAUUCUCUGCAUUGCU